rnacentral:rRNA from 1 species
UACAGAGGGGGCAAGCGUUGUUCGGAAUUACUGGGCGUAAAGGGCGCGUAGGCGGAUGGCACAGUCAGAUGUGAAAUUCCCGGGCUUAACCUGGGGGCUGCAUUUGAUACGUGUUGUCUAGAGUGAGGAAGAGGGUUGUGGAAUUCCCAGUGUAGAGGUGAAAUUCGUAGAUAUUGGGAAGAACACCGGUGGCGAAGGCGGCAACCUGGUCCUUGACUGACGCUGAGGCGCGAAAGCGUGGGGAGCAAACAGG